GGGCACUUAGCACAGUGGUAGCGCGCUUGCUUUGCAUACGAUUGUAUGACUGCACGAGGUCAAGGGUUCAAGCCCCUUAGUGUCCA